AUCGCUUCUCGGCCUUUUGGCUAAGAUCAAGUGUAGUAUCUGUUCUUAUCAGUUUAAUAUUUAUGGAGGCAGAGAAAUUCCAUGAUCUGCCUUCUAUAAGCUCAAAACCCAAA
rnacentral:snRNA from 1 species